rnacentral:rRNA from 1 species
UACGUAGGGUGCGAGCGUUGUCCGGAAUUAUUGGGCGUAAAGAGCUCGUAGGCGGUUUGUCACGUCUGCUGUGAAAUCCCGAGGCUCAACCUCGGGCCUGCAGUGGGUACGGGCAGACUGGAGUGCGGUAGGGGAGAAUGGAAUUCCUGGUGUAGCGGUGGAAUGCGCAGAUAUCAGGAGGAACACCGAUGGCGAAGGCAGGUCUCUGGGCAUUAACUGACGCUGAGGAGCGAAAGCAUGGGGAGCGAACAGG